AGAGUUUGAUCAUGGCUCAGAUUGAACGCUGUGCGGAAUGCUUUACACAUGCAAGUCGAACGGCAGCACGGACUUCGGUCUGGUGGCGAGUGGCGAACGGGUGAGUAAUACAUCGGAACGUGCCCAGUCGUGGGGGAUAACGUAGCGAAAGCUACGCUAAUACCGCAUACAAUCUAAGGAUGAAAGCGGGGGAUCGCAAGACCUCGCGCGAUUGGAGCGGCCGAUGGCAGAUUAGGUAGUUGGUGGGGUAAAGGCUCACCAAGCCGACGAUCUGUAGCUGGUCUGAGAGGACGACCAGCCACACUGGGACUGAGACACGGCCCAGACUCCUACGGGAGGCAGCAGUGGGGAAUUUUGGACAAUGGGCGCAAGCCUGAUCCAGCCAUUCCGCGUGCAGGAUGAAGGCCCUCGGGUUGUAAACUGCUUUUGUACGGAACGAAAAGGCUCUGGUUAAUACCUGGGGCUCAUGACGGUACCGUAAGAAUAAGCACCGGCUAACUACGUGCCAGCAGCCGCGGUAAUACGUAGGGUGCAAGCGUUAAUCGGAAUUACUGGGCGUAAAGCGUGCGCAGGCGGUGAUGUAAGACAGAGGUGAAAUCCCCGGGCUCAACCUGGGAACUGCCUUUGUGACUGCAUCGCUGGAGUACGGCAGAGGGGGAUGGAAUUCCGCGUGUAGCAGUGAAAUGCGUAGAUAUGCGGA
rnacentral:rRNA from 1 species